rnacentral:rRNA from 1 species
CACCCAGGACGGUGGAUCACUCGGCUCGUGGGUCGAUGAAGAACGCAGCAAAUUGCGCGUCGACAUGUGAACUGCAGGACACAUGAACAUCGACGUUUCGCACGCACAUUGCGGUCCAUGGAUUCCGUUCCCGGGCCACGUCUGGCUGAGGGUCG